UGGGGAAUAUUGGACAAUGGGCGCAAGCCUGAUCCAGCCAUGCCGCGUGGGUGAAGAAGGCCUUCGGGUUGUAAAGUACUUUCAGCGAGGAGGAAGGCGUUAAGGUUAAUAACCUUGGCGAUUGACGUUACUCGCAGAAGAAGCACCGGCUAACUCCGUGCCAGCAGCCGCGGUAAUACGGAGGGUGCAAGCGUUAAUCGGAAUUACUGGGCGUAAAGCGCACGCAGGCGGUUUGUCAAGACGGAUGUGAAAUCCCCGGGCUCAACCUGGGAACUGCAUUCGAAACUGGCGAGCUAGAGUCUUGUAGAGGGGGGUAGAAUUCCAGGUGUAGCGGUGAAAUGCGUAGAGAUCUGGAGGAAUACCGGUGGCGAAGGCGGCCCCCUGGACAAAGACUGACGCUCAGGUGCGAAAGCGUGGGGAGCAAACA
rnacentral:rRNA from 1 species